AUCCUUUCGGUUCAUACUAAUGAUGAUUGGUCUGUUCUCGCUAUUGCGUGAGAUGUGCAGCCUCUUGUUACGCAUUGCACACGACCCCUCUGAAC